UGACGCCUGUUCCUCUCGCUGCUCUGAGCUGUGGCUUUUAGGUCGUCACAGAGUAAAGCGGGGUCUAUUUCACCCAGUGUUCAUGAGGUAGCAGGGCUGCCAUUGUCUACACUGGACUUUGCUGGACCCCAUUGUG